rnacentral:rRNA from 1 species
UACGUAGGGUGCGAGCGUUGUCCGGAAUUAUUGGGCGUAAAGAGCUUGUAGGCGGUUUGUCGCGUCUGCCGUGAAAAUUCGAGGCUCAACCUCGAACUUGCGGUGGGUACGGGCAGACUAGAGUGUGGUAGGGGAGACUGGAAUUCCUGGUGUAGCGGUGAAAUGCGCAGAUAUCAGGAGGAACACCGGUGGCGAAGGCGGUCUGCUGGGCAGUUGCUGACACUGAGGCGCGACAGCGUGGGGAGCAAACAGG